rnacentral:lncRNA from 13 species
GUUUUUAAAUUAAUUGUUAUUUUAAGCCACGUGAUCAACUAUUUUUCCAGUUAAUUGUCUACAGGCUUCUAUCACUUCUAAGUGAUAAUGAUGAUACAAACACAUUUUAUAUCAUCAUUAUCAAUUAUAAUUGAGAAUAUAUAUCUCAUUGCCUCUCUCCAACCAUUCCCUGAUUAAAGUAUUGAAUGUAUUUUAUAAACCAGGUGAGUCCUAUGAGACAGAGGUAGAUAAUGUUGGCCUUGAUAUGUGGUAUUGGAUUUAAGAAUAAUAGCUGUAAUAUGCUCUUUUUAACAAUGCUGUUUGGCAACUGUUCUUUCUGGAUGGGAAGCUAAUGACAAGUACUCAUGUUAUACUGUCUGGCAUAAGGCUAUGAAAGGCACUAUACCAACAGAACACAAUAUUGAAAUGUUUUCUUAUGUGACUACAAACUUUCAUUCAUGAACCACUUUCACUCAUGGUUGUCAUAGAGUGGAUUCUCAACAAGUUUUAAUCUGUGUCAUCAUGAUAAUUCUGAAAGCAACUUAAAAACAACAGUAAUAAUGGAUGAUGUUGCCACUCCUCCUAAAUAAGCGCAUGUGCCUUCUAAUGAUGUAAAUAAAACUUAUAAAUUAUAUGGAUGGACUCUUUGGAAAAAUUUUGCCUGACCGUGUAGGCAGUACUCUUUCUUAGGACGAAAAAAAAAGCUGCAUUCACAUAGAAGAUAAGCUUCAGUGUCUAAUUUCAUCAGCAUUUAACAUGGGGCUCAUUUUGGUUUUCCCAAAGAAAGAGGAGACAGGAACUAAAAAUUUGAUCUUACAGUCUCUCUUUCUCUCUCUUCCUCCUUAGAUGUAUAUUAGUUCCCAUGGAAACUACAUUGGGAUGGCUUGAGAGUGACAUCUACAAAUGCAGUCCUGGCAGUUCCUGGAAGAACUUUGCAAUAUUCUGCAGACGUGGAUACCCAGUGACAAAGCAACUGCACAAAUUCAUCAGUAAGUCAGUGUAGGUAAUAAAUGAGAGCAUUUUGACCA